UCAGUAUUUUUGGUUACUGCCACUCGAACAGAUUAUGGGAUGUGCAAUAUCUGUUGCAAACAGGAGCACAUAAUCCCCAGCACAGAAUUUUAGACGUUUCCUGGCUUCUUUGCAGAGGAACUGCAGCAGCUUCAGUGUGAUUCCUCCCAAAGGACGUUACCCCAGUGGGAUCACUUUGCCCUGGUUCAUACCAGCAACCUUUAUAUCUUCCAAUUCCAUGAGAAGCAAUAAGAGAAAACACACUGACAACCAGAAGGUUUUGCCACAAGACGUGCCUGUCAGGUUUGUCCCCCCUGUCAGAAAUGGCCAUUUUUACAAAGAGAAGAAAAAAAAUCCCAAGCUAGUCUGGCCACAUUAACCCUCAGGUGGAGAUAACUCGGGAUGGAGGUUCCCUUCCUGCAGCUCUCCCCUUGGCUGCAGGCUGUGCCCUCGGCUCCUGGCGGCUCAUAGUACUGUGCCUCUCUGCUGUCACCACCAGAUCUCCCAGAACAGUGAUAGAUGACACUGAUUGCCGUCUCAUUGGUACCCUGCUCUUUAAAAUGUCUUUUUUUUCCCCCCAUUUGAAUAGUACCUCUAUUACAUAAUGCAGUUAAUGUUAUUUUUUCUGGCUUGAUUGACUUCUCUCUGCAGAGCUGCAGUUGGAGUGCUCCUCAUGGCCACCCAGGAGCUGACAGAGAGCUUCACUGAUUCACAUAAAGAUAGCUGUGGCUCUUCGUGCAUUCUCUGAGUAACCAGCAGACUUCUGACACAUCCUUUAACCCAACUUCUGUUUGAAUGUGUUGGAACAGAUCCUGCUCCCAAGCUCAGCCCAGUGUAUGCUGCAGAGAGAGAUCCUAGCGGAGAGCAGAGCAGAAACGGUUUGGCUUGGGAGCAGUGUGGGGUCGGUGUGAGCAGUGCUGGGCUGCGGCUCAUGUGCUGCAGGAGGAGUGUGUGCUCACACUCUCCAGACCUCAGCACGGCACUGCAGUUCAUGUUGGCUCUGGAAUGGAAGAAGGAAGAUGGCUCAGCUUCAAGAACAUCUGUGAGUGGCAGAGAUUGGCCUUGCACACCACCGUAGUUUGGGGUGCCCAACUGGCCCUGCUCCCCAUCCCUGGAUUCUGGGAUGGACACCCAGGUGCUGCUGGUGGCCAUGGGGAAGGGACAUUGGGUCUGAGUUCAGCUCUUGGUGUCCAUGUAAUGAGUACUGGGCUUACCAGAGCAGCUCUGCUGUCCCCUCCGAUCUCCCAGUUCCUCUGUGAGUGUGCAUUGUGGUCUGGGGAGAAGGAACAACGUGAAGCUGAUUCGCUUAAGGCCACAUCCAAGGAAGGAAGAGAAAGAGAAGAGGACAGGCUGGAUUGAAUCAGUGAAAUUUAGGCAGCCUGACAUCAUGUGCAAAACUUGAAGUUUGUGAAACCCAUGUUCUGUAUAGCGCAGCUGAGUGAUGGUCUCACAGCUGCUGGGGUUCGGUGCAGCAAAAGGGGGGUGCUGGGUUGGGGGGGCUGUGCAGGAGGAAGCUGAGUGAGUGGGAGAGCUCCUCCAUUUUGCCUUUGCUUAGCACUGAAGGUGUCACCCCUUCCUAAGCACUGUCUUGCAGGAACCAAAGGAGGAAGAUUAGAUGAUGCCCAAGGAGAAGCUCCUUGCAGCAGCUGCGGCUUCCUGCUGUUGGUGCUCAUAACUGUGUGAAAGCUUAAUGGCUCAUUAAAA
rnacentral:lncRNA from 1 species